rnacentral:rRNA from 1 species
AUGUUUGGAGGGAUUCCUUCAAACUUUGGAGGGAUUCCUUCUGUCAUUAGAGAUGAUAUAUGGAAAAUCAAGGUUCCCCCGAAUAUACAUGUUUUUCUUUGGCUGAUUUAUUACAACAAAAGUUUAACCAGAGAUAACUUAGCUAAGCGUAGGCAUGUUGAGGACAUGUCCUGUGUCUUUUGCUGUGAACCCGAAACUAUCCAACAUCUGUUUUUUGACUGCAUUGUUGCUGAAUCUGUCUGGAAUUUAAUUGCUGACAUCUCUGUGAUUGAUGUUCCUAACUCUUUUGAUCAAUUAACUUCCUUCUGGAGGAGAAGAAAACAUUAUGAAGCCUUGAAUAUUGUUUCUGCUGCUGCCUUGUGGAGCUUAUGGCGUCUUCGAAAUGAUUUUGUUUUCCAGGGGCGAAGAUGGCGAAAUAUGCGGUGUGUCUUGGACCUGUUGGGGGCGACGAUCAAGAAAUGGAAAGUGUUAUGUUCAGAAACUCAGGGUGCGCUACUUCUCCGGUGCUUAAGGCUUUUGGACCACCGAAGAGGGGAAUUGCUUAGGAUUGCUUGGAGAUCUUAG